rnacentral:lncRNA from 1 species
AUGAUUUGACCAUUGUUAAUAUCCAGUGGACAAUAAGUUGAAGCACGCUUUUAUCCAACAGAUAUUAACAAAAUAAAAAGUUCUCGUCUUUCUACUCCACAAAUCCAAAGCAACCAAGCAAAACUCGUUUCAUUUUCUCUCUAAUGCUUUGAUCAAGUACUUCGGCCGUAAAUUAAAGACCAUGACGAUGAAGCCAACUCUAAUAUCGGCUACGAAUGAUUCACGACCGCGAGUGAGUUUUUUUCCGACAACUAGCCAAUCAUCCCACUGUUUUAAGCCACGAAUAAGGUAUUAAUUCUUUCAAUGCAUGCUAGUUUUAUUAGCUGAAAUUGGUAGUCUCGGUGAAAAAUUAGCAAAUGGAUCUUGAAAUUCUUUUAAGAUUGUUGCUGUUGCUUUUGAUUUUGUCCAUCAUUUACUGUUAGUUGUAGUUAAAUGAGUAUUACAAAAGCACGUUGAACAUAGAGCUAAAUAUCUCUGCUGCCUUUAUGAUUGAUUGAAAAAUAGUUCUUGAAAACUUUUUAGAUUUUUAUUUGUUUCUUAUGAUUAUUUUCAAUAGAUUCAUGAUAGUUAUAGUAAAAUUAAAUAUAAAAAUGUAUGUUGAAGAUAGUUUGAAGUGUAUAUAGGUAGUAUUCUGUUAAAGGGGUUUUUGAAUUUUUUUUUGGGUUUUUAUCGUGUUAUUUACAUGACUUGGGUUGCGAAAAAUGAAAUGGUUUGCUGUAUUCUUUGGAUCCAUGGGUUUAGGGUGCACAUGAGCUAUUUUAGUUGCAUGUCUGUUUUAAUUCAAGGAAAAAAGUUUCAACAAUGAAGUGCAUUACAUGGCUUUAUUGGGGCAUGCACUGAAAUCAUAAAGUAAUGGUUAUAUGUGGAAAAACCAGAUAAAUUUGUGAUGGAGAAAUUAUGUUAACCUAUGAUUAGUGAUAACUUGUUGGUUUUGUAUAAAUGGGAGCAUGGAUAGUUCCAUUAAAAAUUCUGCAAAUUGUUGUCGUUCAAUUUAUAUUUUUUAAUAUCAUUUUCUUCAUUGUUGUUUCUUCUAGUUAACUUUUUUGACAUUUUAUUUUUAAUGCAAUUUCAGACCACAGCUCUGCUUAGGUUCAAUAAAGUUACACACAACAUUUUAGUCCGAAAUUGGAGAGGUCAAGCAUGACAAGUGAAGCAUACAAGGAGGUUGCAUUGCAUACCAAGCAAUAUGUCCUUCCUGGUCACAUUUUCCACAUCAUAUUAAGUCAACCUUAUUAAAGGCAAACUCUUGCAGACUUCAUUUGAAAUAUAGAAAACAUUGAGAUGUUAAUUCAAGUCCAUACAUGACUUAGUUACAAGUUUGUUUGCUUUUCCCUAACACUAUUUGUUUGUCGAGAAAUAAUAUUUAGUUUCCAAGCUUUUUGUUUAUUUAUUUAUUUCUCUAAUCAUGUUAAAUCGAGUUUACUAGUGGCUUUUAGUCCAAAAAUUCUUACUAGUAUGAAGAAGGUUAGUAAUACUUGAAGGAAUUUUGGGAUGAUUAAUUUCAUAUUUUUUUUCUCUUUCUCCUUAAGUUUUGAUUUUAGGGAUACAUAAUGACUAUAUAAGAUUUGUUUCCCACUCUAUGCAUUAAUUAUUUUCUACUAUCAGAAUUUUUGUUUGUAUUGUUGUGAUGAUUGCAGAUGUUCACCUUUUAUCAUUAUUUACAGAGAAAAAUUAUUAAUCAACCCCUUGGCACUGUUAGAAAAGGCAAGACUGCUAAUGACAAUUUAGUGUUUGAAAAGAAAAUUUUGAAUGAUAAAAAGCAAUGUGUAGAGCAUAUUAUGCUUGUUGACUUGGGGAAGGAUGAUGUUGGAAAUGUUCAUUCUUAAUCUUAUUUGGCCAGUUUUUCUUUUUUUGUGUUUCAUGAACUUGUUCAUCUUGGUUUUGUGGUGAUACAGACAUUACCCUGCUUUUAGAACUACGACUCCCCAAUUGCAACACACUUUGACAUUUAUAUUCAUACAAAGAUGUGGAUAAGCGAAAGGAAUGGAUUGCUACGGCUGGCAGUGACCCUCAUGACAAGCAAGAAGGUGCGGGAACAAAGUUGUUGCUCUUGCGUGUGCCAUUAAUGUUUCAGUCUCCAUUUGUUGAUAAAUGAUCAAAAUUAAUGCCUUAUGGAGUCUCUUGAUUUUUGUUGAAAGAGUUUGUAAAUAAUUGAUGUGGAGAUAAAAUGAUAUUUGCGGUGGUGGUUUGUUACUAAUAAAGGAAGAUGAAUGCUUUAUCUUAUAUCUUGAGUUUGAGAAACAAGUUGAAAUUAUUUUAGAAGCAAGUUGAAAUUAAAUUUCAAAAAAUUUUCCUAUCCCCCCCCCCCCCCCCACAGAAAAAAAAGACUUCAAAUUUUUUCUCUUUUAGUUAAGUCAUUUUGGAAAAUGAGAAGGGUGAUUUGGUACUUUCAUUGUGUUUAUAUCUAUUUGGCGCCAAAACAAAUAUGAUACUAUUAACCAAUAGUACAUACUAUACAUUAAUCUUAAUAUAAAAACUGUGUUGUUUUAAAGUCAAGGGUAUGUUGGUCAUUUUAUCAGUCAACAAACGGUCUAAGAGUAGGAAUACUAACGUCAGGGGAGGUUACUGAGAAUACGCGAAUACUUUCUAUCUAAGUGAGAAUACACCAAACCUCAAGGGAGGUUUCUGAAAAUUACCCUUCCUAUAAAGAGAAUGAAUUUGUUCACUUAACUUUAAUAUUCUUUCACCAAACUUCAAUAUUCUUUUACCAAUAGGCUUUUGGUCCAAUGUUGAGUGCAAAUGUUCGAGCCUCCGUAAGAGUUUUAUAGGAGUUAAUUUCAAUACUCUCUCAAUUAUCAAUAUAAUUGAGUGGAGACAGUAUAUCUCUUACGAAAUGGGAGUUAAUUUCAGUACUCUCUCAAUUAUUAACAUAAUUGAGUGGAGAUAGUCUUUCUCUUAUGAAAUGUGAGUAGAGUAGACACUCUCGAAUAUUAGAGAGGGUUUAAAAUAUAUGGGCAAGUGCUUCAGUGUAUUAAUGUAUGACGGUGAUCUCAGUUAUAUAAUAUGAUUGUAAAUAUUAAUUGUAAUGUCUGAUGUAAUGUCAGUAACAUCUGUGUAUAACGUAUUAAAAAAAAAACUUUAAUAUUCUUUUAUAUGGCUCUUUGUUGAAUCAAAUUUCUGUUCCACUUUGCAUUUGGUU